AUUGAACGCUGGCGGCAGGCCUAACACAUGCAAGUCGAGCGAGCGGCGGACGGGUGAUUACUGUCUGUCAACCUGCCAGAUGGAGGGGGAUUCCUAAUGGAAACGGUAGCUCAUCCCGCAUCCCAUUAGAUGUGCCCCGAUGGGAUUAGUUAGUAGGUGGGGUAACUGCCCACCUAGGCGACGAUCCCUAGCUGGCCUGAGAGGAUGACCAGCCACACUGGAACUGAGACACGGUCCAGACUCCUACGGGAGGCAGCAGUGGGGAAUAUUGCACAAUGGGCGCAAGCCUGAUGCAGCCAUGCCGCGUGUGUGAAGAAGGCCUUCGGAUUGUAAAGCACUUUAAGCGGGGAGGCGUUACCAGCAGAAGAAGCACCGGCUAACUCCGUGCCAGCAGCCGCGGUAAUAC
rnacentral:rRNA from 1 species